AGCUUUGCGCAGUGGCACUGUUGUAGCCAAAGAGCUUUAUCCGAGGCAUGAUUAUUGCUAAUUGAAAACUUUUCCCAAUACUCCGCCAUGAUGACUUGAAAUAUAGUUGGCAUUGGCAAUUUUUGACAGUCUCUAUGGAGA
ensembl:snRNA U4 U4 spliceosomal RNA